rnacentral:rRNA from 1 species
GACGUAGGGCGCGAGCGUUGUCCGGAUUUAUUGGGCGUAAAGAGCUCGUAGGCGGCUUGUUGCGUCGACCGUGAAAACCCGCGGCUCAACUGCGGGCUUGCGGUUGAUACGGGCAGGCUGGAGUUCGGUAGGGGAGACUGGAAUUCCUGGUGUAGCGGUGAAAUGCGUAGAUAUCGUAAGGAAGACCAGUGGCGAAGGCGGGUCUCUGGACAGUUCCUGACGCUGAGGCACGAAGGCCAGGGGAGCAAACGGG